rnacentral:piRNA from 1 species
UCCCCCGGUAGCACAAUGUUGCUUUGC